CUUGUCCGCUUACAUCUCGCCUCAUAUAAGUUGACAAUAGAGAUGAACAAAGAACAAGCCUCAAGUGAACACUGUGACAGGGUAACAAAGCACAAAAGUUCAAUCAAUUUCUAAAGAUAGAAUAGACCAGUAUACGUACAUCAUAAAUUAUAACCAACUGUCUGUCAGCCGACAUGAUCUUAAUCCAAAGGACCUGUAAUGAAAUACAUGCAAUACGCGAGGACAACAGGCAGAGACUGCUUGUGAAUCGGGGAUGGCAACAUAGCAGUGAUUUGUGAUUAAACUAUGCGUACUGCGGCUGAUUCAACUCAUUAUUUAAUAUUUAUUAAUUGUUUCAGUACACGGCAUUAGGACUGGUUGGAGAACCAGAUCGUUUUCUUUCACCUACUCAGAUGAGGCUUACGCUCAGUUAGCUAAAUAACAGUACGCGCUGACAUAGAUACAUAAAAUAGAGAACCCAGGUAUGCUUUAUCACGAGAGUGCUUUAAUCUGAAAAACAAUAUUAUAACUAAAAUAGCUAAAAACAAAAGAAGAGGAAGGCAAAACCAGAUAUAUGUGUGAUUGCUCUCUGGAGAGAACGUACAUUUUAUUAUAAUGCCAAGGGUACAGAAUAAUAGAUGACAUAACGAUAAUAAUAAUUAACUUUAGGAGAGCGUAACGAAGCCAGUAAGUUUAUUUGUUUUGUUUAUUUCUAGCCAAAUCCAAAAUAAAUGUUUUGGACUUCAUGUCCGAUAUUGGCGUCAAGCAGUACUUCGAACAUGUUUGCCUCACCGUGACGACAAGUUCUACUUAAUUAUUUUGGUGCCUCGAAUCAGACGGUACCUUCGUUCAGUCGUUGUAGGAAUUGUCCAGAAGGGUCAACUAAAAUGAAACUUGAGAUUUAUUCACUUGAAUCGAUUAUUAAACGACGAUGAUACGUGAUGAUUGCUUGUCAACGGCCCUGCGUCUCCACGAUUAUAGAGUUCAAGACGGUAGAUGAAAACAGCAUUAGUUGCGUAAGUUCACGUGGACACGUUUUUUUUUUUCGUGAUGACUAAGACAAUUAUUUUGGCUUCAUGAAGGCCAGGUACUGUAUCGAUAGGUAAUAUUCAUGCUGAUUAGGUAUAGCUCUAGGCUGUUUUAUUUCCGAUUAGAAGUUAACUGAUAUCGUUAGAAUAAAAAUGCACGGACAAAACCAUGCCUUGAAGGUUUAGCUUCAUUUUUGCGUCGAGGACAAGUCUUACACAAGAAACGUUAUGUGAAGUCAUAACGAAUUUCGAUUUAUGAAAUGUUAAAUAAAAGAUAAAUGUUUUAUUUAGAACACUGUGCUGUCUUUUUGAUGUCGGUAAGAUUAGCGAUAAAAAGAUAUUGUCCUAUAUUAUUUUAGUUCAUCAUGUUAACAGCAAGCCGCUUAAGUCGUUUGAGUUUAUUUAUUUCGUAUAAAGAUCUCUCACAGAAGUUUACUUUUGUUUGCUCUAAUUUACCGAAAGCAAAGCAACAAUAACAGGUGUGAAACACUAAGGUCUUCGCCCGCAUUUUUCAAGGUUUGGUUCCGAGCGCCGACAUUAAUAAUGGCUACCCGAUUAGUUGCGUAUGUGUGAAAUAUUGCGCUUCGUCCCUAAAAUGACUUCCCGAUCUCCGUCAGCCGUAUGUUGUUUUUCCAGUGGCUGGUUAUAUAUGCCUCAAGUGCAGGUUGGUGCGUUUCCGUUACUCGCGCUAUUACGACCUGCGACUGCAGUUCAAUGCGGCAUUCGCUUGAUUUUUUGCCGUAGUAUAUCAUUAUAUAGUGUGCGUGCUAUACAGUAUACAGUUUAAAUCUUCUAUCCACCAUGAAAACGCGCGUCGUCUGCUCUUUCCCACCGGAGGCACCAGACGACAAAAAACGGCAAGGACAGCGGCGCCGUUGACGCUGAGUCUUUUAUUGCCAUCUGCCGCUCGAUUCCUGUCUGCCUCUUGUCACAGACUGGUCACUGCAAUUGCAGUGAAGUGUAUUUCCGUCUUCGUAUACUGAUCCCUUGCGUACUGUCAAAUUCCGAGCAGAUGUUGUCGACAUCGUCUUCUCUCCGGUGUCGUCUGCUGCCCGUCAUUGUUGGAGUUUGUGUUCUCUUCCACACCAGCAAUCGCACCAAUGGUAAUGGUCGGUCGCCGCUGAUUGACGGCCGCCGAUUGACGGCCGCCGCUGCCACUGUCUCUUUGCGUGUGGCUAUGACGCUGCUGCUAGUGCUGCUGCUGUCGCCUCAAGCGCUGUUUUUGCUGUAGCUGAUGCUGCGACUAAAAGUAGCAUUAACAGCCGCAACAAAUCAAGUUGCUCCGCCCGCCAUUGCCGCUUCUGCUGCUUUAGCGCCAUGGCGGACCCAGCACGACGUUACGAUCGACGACAACAACAACAACGACUACAAGCACAGUGAACCAACAGACGAUACAGAAAAAAAAAAGAGAGCUAUCUGCCAACGACGGCAGCGGCGGCAAGAGUUAUCAGAAAUCUAUUAUUGACCAUUACCAGCGUUCGAUGCUGCCAUCACUGCUUGUUGCUCAGUACCGGCGAUAACGACACGAACAACCGCAGCAAGAACAGCACUCACAGAGACUCAGCAUCGACUCAUCUCGACUGGCGCUCCGGUCGCCGGUUAGCGAUGGUCUAGCGGCGGUCAGUAGCAGCAGCCAGUCAGGGAACGAACGUAUGAGUGAUUGAAUGACUGAGAGAGCCAUCAUGAGCUCUCUGUCAGCCUGACUGCCUAUUACCAGCUAUCGAGCUCGAGUAGAUGCGGUGAACAGCAGCGAGUGGUGCUGUUAGAGACUCGAUAAUAUUCAGAGAGAAAAGUGGCGAGUGCUCACGACUUUUGACAGCCAGACGAAAUACGGCGAGAUUAGAAAGCCUGCAUUGGUCUCUUUAAGUUGACUCAAAGAAACACUUAGGCGAGUUUGCGGGUACUCCACAGCAGCUCCAUCCUCUGCAGCUUUUCCCUAGGUUCGCUACUACAUUCGACUAAUGAAAGAAUAAAAAGAACACCAGGUUCGACCAGUUGUGUUUGUGUACCCAAAGUUGAUUUGGGUGCGCUACGGCGCGAAUAACAGUGGUAACUUAUCAUCGUAAGCAUUAUCGCCAUGUCGUCGUGACACCGUGAGCGUGUCUCCGUGCAUGUAUGUGAUUCUGACAGUCCGUUUUUCAGCAAAACGUAACUCAUCCGUUUAGCAGGCCUUUUGGAAUUGUUCUUGUUGUUCCUGUUGUUAGUGGCAAACGAACACAGCGAAUCAGCGGUCCCAAGCGCUCUAGCUAUCGACACUUUCAACAGCAGCAACUGCCGCAUCUAGCAAAAACGUGACAACACCCAGCAGACGCAGGCGUUCGUCAGUGUAUACGUUAAUGCAGUAAUAAUAAUACCGCCGGUGUUUUUUAAUGACGAUAUUGUUGCAAUAACCGAGAUAGAUGGAUGGUCAUCAUGGCUUGGCUGCAGAGAUAGCCGACUAUCGUCGCUCUCGUUUCGUACGUAGUGGCAUCCAGCAACACCAUACUCAUGCCGUGUUUCUGGUACACCUCUCUGUAUGAGUGAAACAAGCGCAGGGGCAAAUGUCUGCUGAAUUGAUGGUCACUACACAGGCGACAGUAACGGCAACGGCGACGAAAAGCGGGGCAUUUUUUAACCCGAACCAGAGAGAAAGGAAAACAACCGAUGAAUGUGAAAGAGAAAGGGGCAAACGGACAUGCGAGUUAACGAACGAACAGAAACAUACAUUCAAGUUACGAUCGAAUAUCAGAUGUUGUCCAUCUUCAAAAGUUCUGAGCCUCUCUAUUUCUGUGAAAAACACUUCGGCGGUAUAGUCGAAAAGACAGUCGCAGUGGGUGCUAUCUGAGCUUUGUGAGGAAUCGAGUAACUUGUCAUCGAAAAUCUAGUAAUUUGCUCUGUAAAAAGUGCGUACGUGUGUGUGCGUAGACCGUCAAUGCAACAAUAACAGCAUUUGGCGACCAGAAGCACGAACAAGGGCCACGGGCAGUCACAGCAGCAGGGCCAGCCGCAGCAGGAACAACAACAGCAGCACACCUGUCCAUGCCACAACCAAUCCUGUCGGCCUAGCGUCAUAUCACAAGUCGGUGAAGCGAACCAUAAAGCGAUCGGCCUAUUUACAGGUCAGCUGUUUCGCCCUGCCUGUUUACCCGCUCUUCAAGUCGUAUUUAAGUCGAAGUACUUUUCGGCGCGCAUGAAGCCUUUGUGUGGCAUUAUCGUAAGUUAAACUGCUACAAGAAGACCGAGCUGCACUGAUAGUAAGACGAGCAUAUGGAUAAGUAAGGCAUUGUCAUCAACGACGACAACUCAGAAGAUAACCUCAUCGGGUAGACCAACAGUACAAACAAUACUUGCCUCUGACAAAAACGAAGAAGCAUGGUAAAAAAAAUGCCAGAUUACAGUAAAGCAUCAGUGUAAUUAAGCACAUGUGUAUCACAGAAAGAGUCUGACGUUUUUAUUAAUUAAAUUUGCCUGAAAGCGUAUCAUGACAGAAAAUCUGGUUUUGCCACAAUAAAGUAGGAAGAAUUUACGAUUUUAUAAGCAGUUCCGUAAGCCGUACACACAGAGCUCAAUGGAGUGAGCUUCUAUAUUUAGCUCUCUCGGUACCUCUCUCUUUCUUUAUUUCUCUAUUUCUUUCUUUUUAGAUCUAACGGGCUUUUGUACUGGAAGCAAUCGAGAAAACACCGUGUACGGAUCUUUCCUGUUGUUUGGCUGGGAAAGGAGGAAACCAGCGGGUUUCUUUUAAAGGAAAACGAAAUGCAGCUUAUUUUCUACUGAACACGUUUAGAAACAGAGUCAAAGAGCUAGAAUGGUUAUGUAGAAGCUCCACUGAAAGCAAACGGCUUACCCAGAAGACGAAAGAUAAGUAGUAGUCCUUUCGGUUUACUGCAUCUUAUCAAACAUCCUACGUCGGGCUGUCUGUGUCUCAGGCCAGUCCCCGACCCAGAGUGUGCUAAACCCCGUGUAGUAGCUUUGCUUCCCCAGACAGCUGCUGCUGCCCUAAGGGAAAAGUGUACCAGGAUCUGAGAGCGUUCAUUGAAAAUCACGUAUCAGGAAGCCAGCCAACAAGUACUGGCCGCACGGAGAAUUGUACCGUUGAUAGCACCGGUACUCGAAGACCGAGAAAAAGAUUCCGAACAGGAAAAAAACACAAGGCAAGACAACGCUUACAACAGCAUAGGCUCAUCUGACAAAAGGAGAGACAGAGAGCGAUUCCGACAUAGAGGAAGAAAUAUAUAUAUAUAUAUAUAUAUAUGCCUGUAAAGGAGAAUAGGCCACCUCAAGGGAAGCCGGCACCGGCCAAACUACUGCCGCCGGGUUGGUUGCGUUAGUAACCUGACAAUAUAUUAGUGUUGGUAGAAGUACUAUGGUUUCGAUCUCCAAUUCAUUCUGACGGUUAUUUCCUCCGGGAUGUAGGGCAUCAAGGCAGUGCGGUUCACGCAGUUCUGAUCGAGUCGCUGGCGUAGUAGGACUGCCACCAUUCGACUUUACGGCGUCUGUACGUAACCUUGUCUAUACCGUUGCUGCUGUUGUUUCCAUAGUAAUUCAGUCCAACUCACCACAUCGCCGUGUAUGUUGCGUGUGGUUCAUCACUGCUAGUAGUCGUUGUCGUUGUGGUACGCCCGGCACAUUGUGUCGUCGCACCGUGGCGUUCUUGUUGCGAGCAUUGUCUGUGAGCGGCGAGGGUCGGCGCGGCGUCCCAGGUCCUAUUUGGCUGAGGGAGUGGGCGAGCGCUGCGGCAACGACAGCCACGCAGCAGCCGUAGCAGCGGCGGCAGCGACAGCGACGCUGGCGGCGGCAGACGGACAGCUCGGAAAUUCAGCAUAGCUCAGCUCAGCGUGCCGACUCGCAGACCCGCCGGUGCCGUGGCAAAAAGACCAGCAUCAGCAGCACCAGAAGCGCCACCAUCACCAUCUUCGCCGCUCUUACCAGUUCCACCAGCAUUACUAUUAGUAGCGGUGCUGCCAGAACGGUGGCUAGUCAGAGCCGGGCGGCAAUUGAGUGCCAGCGCGUCGAGUCGAACCCGUUUUUCGUGCCCCUGUACCUACUCACCGUAUCCGUUACGUCGUUAAAUUGUUCUGAUAUAGUAACGUUUCAUUGUUUCUAUUGAGAGCUGCUGCUUAAACCGACUGCCGGUGCUGCUGCUGCUGCUGCUGCUGUUACAUGAAGAAAUCAAAGCGACAACUGCGGCAGCGUCGAGCUGCUGUGGCAUCGCCAUCGAAACGAUACAUCCCUGUGACAGUGCUAUAGCUGUUGCUAACAGUGAUCAUACUCUUCGAAGCGUCGGCCGAUCGGUGAUUAUGACUGCGUCUGCCACAGCGUCGGCAAAGGUAGCUAACUAGCUAGCUAAUUACAGAGCUGGUAUUUUUCGAACGAAACGGCAGCGGUAACUCAAAAACGUGUACGAGUCAAUCGUCAGGGAGCGUGUUGCGAGGCGCUUGCGAUAACUCAACGGGCAUUGCUGCGCUAAACAAGCGAUUAGUAUCCAAGCGAAAAAGAUCUACGGAGUGCUUCUACAGCGCUACACUAAUAUAUAUCCGAAGCGCAGGAACUUAGCGAAAGCAUAUCGUGGUAAUGAGGUUCGUUCAUGCGGCGAGGCACAUGCAAGCCCCUAAAGGACCGCAACAUUAAACGUCCAACAAACGGCAAACUGAUAGCCGCCAUGCACAAUAUCAGGCUUUUCACGACAGCUUCGCCAAUAGCCAAGUUAAGCUGGACACAGUGAAGUGAUAAAAAGGGGAAUCCGAACUAAAUCACCCCCGCCUUUUCCCAGAUUGUAUAGACGAAGGGAUUGUGUGCUCAACUGUUCUUCUUUUUUUUUUUUUUCGUGUGUGGUAAUGGUAGUGUUUUUUUUAGUUGUUUUUCCCAACAACUCGUGGAUUUUCUAGUUAGUAAACGGAUUUACCGUCAUUGUAUCCUCACGUAUGUGCUUCAGAGUGUUUAGCGAGAUCGCGCUUACUUCUAGUGCUAUUCAUUACUAAACCCUGCAUGAAACUGAGCGAAAAUAAGGAAAACUCAUUUUUUCCUGAACCCAAUAACGGUAGUCGAUCAGCUGUGUCGGCAAGUCAGCUGCGUGAUAUCCAUACUCGGCUAACUUCGUUAUCGAUGCUACAACAGUAAAACCGACAAAGAAGAGGAACGUAUUGGAUAGAAGGUGCGCGGCCGGCAACACUGAUCGUGUUCAUUCUAUCUCCUUUCUCCUCGUUUGCGUAUCUGUGUCUGUGCGGCCACUGUUUUGCGGCAGGCGUAUCGCUGCUGCUGUUACUACAGGAUACUGUCAUUUCUAUAGGUUUUGCUGCAGCUACCCCCAAGGUUUCAUGUGUUUAGCUGUGCGAUCGACGGUGCACUGAGUGCGUUCUUUUGGAGUCGUUGUGUGUCUGCUUAAUAGAGCGAGGCGAUUACUGCAGCCUUUUCUCUGUUUCGUCUCUUUAUUUGGAGGCCAACAGGACUAGUUUGCUCUUUGUUGCGUUCACUUCGCUGCAGCUUCGAUAGACUUCGGGCUUAGAGGCCCGCGUGUGAAAAGCCAAGGCCAUAGACGAAAGACAGAGUGGACUGUCAUCGACACGAUCAACCCUAACGAACAACACCGCCGGUGGCGGAUCGCGUCGGAGUUAGUUUACUCCGGUGAUGGGCGAGAGCUCACUUUUGCUCGCCGACAACAACAAUAACCUGUUCUACGUGGCUCAGAACAAACCCUAUUUAUACUAUAUCAGUGGGGCAUCAUCUGGCGUCCAGAACACCAUUGUUGGACGAAACGGCCAUCAUCAACAACAACAGCUCCAACAGCAUAAUCACACAAUCCACAACAACAAUAAUAACAGCAACAAACAACAUCAUAUCGGUAGCCACAGCGGCAACCAGAACAAUAACAACAACAAAAGUCGGAACCGAUCAUCCGCCGUCAAAACGAGGGACAACAACAGACAGGCGCAGCCAGUGGCUACUGCUGGCGUUGGAGUUGCGAGCCUCCUUGGAGGCAAUAUCAACAGCCUAAGCAGUCUGAGCAGUCUGAUAGGCAUCAUGCACGGCUCACAGACCCUGCAACAGACGCAGCACGCGAUGCAGCAGAGUCUGAAUAACCAUACAAACGUACAUGUGGGCAUCGCUGCGACGACAGGUGGGGUACCCCAUCCAGCCAACACAGCCAGUAUAGCCGAUUAUCUCGCGCAGCUGAUAAAGGACAGAAAACAACUCGCAGCAUUUCCCAAUGUGUUUCUUCACGUCGAACGGAUUCUCGAUGAAGAAAUCUGCAAGGUUCGGGCAUCACUUUUCCAGAUCAGUGGUCGGGCAAAGGAGCCGCUCGUGCUCCCUGAUCCGGAUGGACCCGUAAUUGCCAAGACCGAAAAGGUCUACGUCCCAGUCAAAGAACACCCCGAUUUUAAUUUCGUCGGGCGCAUCCUCGGCCCGCGAGGUAUGACCGCAAAACAGUUGGAGCAGGAGACCGGCUGCAAGAUCAUGGUUCGAGGCAAGGGUUCUAUGCGCGACAAGAAGAAGGAGGAUGCAAAUCGUGGAAAACCGAACUGGGAGCACCUCAAUGACGAACUUCAUGUUGUAAUAAGUGUUGAAGAUACAGAGAAGCGUGCAGACAUCAAAAUUCAGAGAGCAGUUGAAGAGGUCCAGAAGCUUUUGGUUCCGGUAACUGAGGGCGAAGAUGAGUUGAAGAAGCGUCAGCUCAUGGAGCUCGCCAUCAUUAACGGAACAUACAGGGACUCAAGCACGCUUGGCAAGUCCGCACUUAAUGGUGCCGCGUUUCCCGGGGCCGCAACCAGUUUGGAUGCGUUCUUGGCUGCUCCACAGGAACUUCAGCGGCUGUUCAAUGCCGCAGCAGCCGCUAGCGUUGGGUCCGUGGCUGGUGUUGGUGGGGUUGGUGGAGUAGGCGGAGUCGGAGCGCCUGUGGCUGCCUUAGCUGCAUCGCCCUUGCGUACAGGAACGCCUCUAGGAGCACCCCUCAUUCUUUCGUCGCCAAGGCUACCUGCAGCUGUUCUUAACGGCGUGCCUGGCGGAAGUUCAGCUGCACCUCCCCCAACCGCUGCUUUAAUGGGAGCCGAUCCCUCGUUGCUGUAUCACCACGCCGCGCAUCACUACACACCAGCCGACUAUCACCAAUACGCGAACGCUCUGCUCACGGCUAGUACACAGAAUCAACAAGCCAUGGACGCCUACGCGACCGCACAGGGUGGGGGCACACCUGUAGCCGCAGUCGGCCAGGAUGUGACAAGCGGUAAACCAACCGGUGGUCGUAGGGGGGUCUCAGGUGUUCGGGACCACCCGUAUCAGCGGGCGGUCUAAGAUCGGCUCUGUCGAAGGGCGGCUACCAGGCUACUUCAGGCCUAACUGCGGCCCUUACCGCACCGCUCAAGAGUAGUCUUGAAACGGUCGAACCGCUCUCAGGGAUCAAUCUCACAUGGACUGGAUGGAUCACUCUGGCUAGAUCAGGGGUGACUCCAGAUGGAUGGUUGGAUGUAGGCUGUCCAGAACGUUGCAACUGUUGCAGAUGUCUCGCCUACAGCAGCAACAACAACAGCAUCUCCUACAGCACUCGCAACAACAGCAACUACAAAUGAUAACUCCUCAACAACUACAUAACUACUACUACAACAGCUACUAUCACCGUUGUCGUUAACUCGUCGAAUGCCACUGUCCGCUGAGUAUAACCGCAUCAAGCAAUCUGUGACAGCCAGUGCUGCCAUUACUACUUCUUUACUUCUUCAUAAAUAAGACAAGCGAACAGCCAACCAAUCAGUUCAGUCUUUGUUAUCGUCCCGUCUGUCGAUGUAAAGGCCAACUAUAAGAAGCGUUAAAAUAAACACGUCUCAUGAUAAUAAGUCGAAAUAAUAAUAAUAAUUUAAUAAUAAUAAUAAUAAUAAUAAUAAUAAUUAAUGCAUUCGUCACUAACGAAGAAGAUCUCGAAAUCGUGCGCACGCGCUCAUUCUAAUUGCUGCUUAUGGUCUCAGUUAUGAGGGACGAGCCUGCCGACCCACCUUACCCCCAGCAUAUCACGCACAGCUCUCACUGACUAACAAGCUGUCAACUAUAGAAGAGACGUUGUUGUAAUAAGCAUUUUACAGGAGAUUGCCACGUUUGUUGAUAAAUGGAAACGAUCAAGAUCAAGUGAAGGCGGCGAUGAAACCGAGGAGUCUAUGUGGACGAUGUGAGCAAGACACGUUGUGGUGAUCCGAGGCGUUAAACGCGGAACCGGUGCACAGGCUUCACACGAGGAGACCGACUUUGAAGAACAGCUCCUGAGAGCCGGAACGACACUUGCGUCUUUGUGGAUGAAUCAUUUAGAUUCUCUGCUUUAGGCUUUAAACAAUACUCGUCACUGGAUGUAGGUAUGAUCGAAUCGACUUAGUAAUAAUAAAUUGAAUACCGCAUAUCGCGAGUCCGAUAAAGUCAUACAAAGAGAACACCAGGUCAUCCAUACUGGAGUCAAUGACGAGCAGUUGAGCACCCUGAAAACGUUGAUGUGUGAUCUAGUGUUCGUAAUAGUAGUAUAUUCGGUGCCAAGCUUUCAUCCUCUUUUUUUUUUCGAAGCUGUACCAAUGGGUAAGCAUUCGCCCAGUCGAAUAUAGCGGAAAGAGAUGUGUGCUAUAGCUUUGCGAAUAACGCUUGAACACGUGCAAGUAGAUAUCUGGCGUGUCCUAUCCAAUAGUGUAAGUCCUCAUGGAGCGAGAUACUACACCGUGUUCAAUUUACUCGAAUCUUUCGUUAUCAAAUUUGGGUUGACCUAGGCUAUUGAAACACAAAACGUUAGUCGAAUAACAAAACCGGGUAUAAACAUGCACCUAUUUCACGGAGAGCUCACAAAACCGCUAAAACUUCUACCUCGAAAGAACAGUGGCUGCUUUGGACAGGAAUGAAGAACACAAGCGCUCACUGUGAUUCAUACAGUAAGCAUAUAGCGCUUGAUUUUGGUACUUGUUCUCAAUACCACGUCUGAUGGACGUAGCAAGUUGCGCCUCACCUAAACGCAUCUAUCUAUUGGUCAUAGUUGAGUAAACACCUCGCUUUACGAACCGUAUAAGAACAAAGUCAUCGUCGAAUAUUGGCCGAGUAUUUCUAAAAGUGCGAUUAGACAUUAUAGGAGGACAGUCUAGAUGGCUGUUGUACAUAAUGAUGGAAUCUUUCGUUUCUACGAUGACCUGUAGUACAAUACUUUUAAUACUCGUCUCGCUGUAAGGAGAGGGCUACCGCCCUUGUCGGUGGUUAGCUUUAGACCCUAUAUUUUGAUUUUUCUGUGAUUACAAUCAUCAGCUAGGACCUGAACGUUGUUCACGAAAAUCAUUUAUUAGCACAAUAUAGCAACAUCAUAUCUAACAGCCCGGUAUACUAGAUACAAUUGAAUUAGUUUAGUUAGUGUUCCAUGUGACCCACCAUUGAGGCAUACGUGUCGUAAUAGUACGUUCUCGAGCCGAACUGGCCGUGUGUUGCUAUGCCCGAAAGCAGGCCAUUCAAUAUGUACAAUAUAAGAGUUUAGAUCUACGAUACACAUUCAAUAUACAAACUCUCGUAUACUAGGUACACGAAUGACUGCAUUUAGAUUGACUAUCCAUUAUUAUGAGUAAACAGUACUUUGCGAAACAAGACCACAUUGCAUGCCGUACGGUCUACAAGGGCAUCUGUUCAAGGUUGUAUCGAAUAGGAGAUCUGAACUAUUUCGGAAUUUUUUUCUCCAUACUAUACACACAUAUACAUCUCCAUAUACCCGUAAGAAGGGAAUGUGGUUUACAUUGGGCGAGAAGUGUUUAAAUCACUCCUUUGACCGAUCAUUUGUUCGUAUUAGUGAGAAGUUACGAAAACUUGAUCAAAUGGAUGAUCAGGUGCAAUGAGUUUCUCAUUGCCUCUCGACUAUGCGAAAUGUUUAAUCUUAGACAACUUACAACGCGGCAGUGACUACCUAAUUUAUUCAGCAUUCAUAUACCUAAGUUAAGAGACAAAUUGUUCACUGAUGGUUUUGUGGUGCCCGCCUAAUGUUCGAACGUCUUUAAGACUGAGGUGAUUUAUAUACUAUUGUGUAUACAGUAAUUAGGCAUCAUAAUUGUGUAGCUGAGGUGUGCAAGGACGAGGUACAUAAGCACCGAGGACUAUAUAUAUAUAUCACAUUAAAUAACAGGACGCAAAAAACAAUGUUUGAAUCAAACAACCAUAACCUCGAGAUUAUUUAUGUCGUAUGGAUCAUAGGCGCUGUCAAGGGCACACAGCUCUCUAUUAUACGUGUUUUGUGUGGUAUUAAAUACACGAUUUCGUUAAAGUGGCAGCUUCAUUCAUCCUUAGCGUGGUGAUGCGUGAGGCACGUAUUGUUCUUUAACCGGUUUUCAAUGUAAACGGCUGUAGUAAAUGCAAAAACCGAGUGCAAUCUUAUUGACGAUGGCAAUACUGUUAAUAAACACAUAUUGAUAUCGUAUUCUAUUUAAAACAAAUUUUGACAUAAACGACGCGUAUUUUUACCAAGUAACCUAUUCUCAGCUGCGCUGACUUUUUUUUGUAGGAUUUUUUCUUAUAUUGUAUCUUUAGGCUUCAUUUCAGCGAUAAAUAGGCGCGCUUGUCCACAUCAUUGCCGUUCACCACACUGCGGUUAUUAUGAGCCGUGUACAAAUAGACAGGUACAUAACUACUGGACUGACUUCACUGGAAAUAGCGAUCAUUCAUAACUCUGUUCGGUCAGACACAUAUUCAGUUAGUCAGCAUAAGGAGUAGAUGGGUUCCUGUAGUUUCUAAAAAAACCAGACCAGGGUACCUCGUCCCACCGCAGUCCAGACGUGGACGAGAGGCUUUCUGUUAAUUGAACCCGGUGCAUAGAGAGAACUCGGAAAAGAGUCGUGUUGAACUAGCUGAAGUAAGCCACCAGAAGAAAGCAGAUAAUGCUGCAGUAAUAGUUGUCUAUCGUGUGACGUUAGAACAAAGCUUAGGUGUGUGUGCAUGUGUUUAUAUGACCAUAUGGUGUGGCCGGCCCGUAGCCGUUCUGCUUCUUUUUAUUAAACCUCCGUACAGGUUUCAAUUAUUUUUGCAAAUUUUGACACAGGCACGCACUCCAAAGAAAAAUAGCCACUCAUCAAACUGAUUGUUCUUGCCAGGUCCGAUGCUGCUUUUAUGCAAGCAAGCUUAAUUACCGGCCAACACUUAGUAAUCGUAUACAUAUCGCACAGAAAUUGACAAAUCAAUUUGCAGUGACGUAACUUGAGGAAUGCAUUUGCUCAGGAUAAGUGCCUCUAGAACACAGGGACAGUAGUAAAUACUACUUAAGGGGAAGUUGAAUCUCAAACUAUUGAAACAUUCGAUUUUUUGUGGCUAGACAGCUUCUGCACUCUUUUAAAAUAUAUUGAUCUAUACAAAAAGUUAAUUGUGGCCGUAAGUACCAUCAACUUCAUGGUCAGCUCCAGAAGUUGUUUAGCCUAUAAGUCGCGCACAUGAACACAGAUAUGUGCACAGUUUGUUAAAGUUUGAAAGGUCACAAUAUAGAACAAUUGAAGUUUAAUCACCUGACAGGUUAGCCGCUAUUUCGAAGGAGAACCUUCCCGCAUUCUGGCACCUCUGUCCGUCAUGCAGGCACUAAUAUCACUGGACAAUCGUCCGUUUCAGAAUGGCUGAUCAACGCCAAACCGCGGCACUGGUUUAAACAGGCCCCUGAUGCCGUAGUUUAUUGCCGUUAGUGCCUAUAUUAAUGCCGGGCUGCACUGUUGCUAGCAUAGUUAUUUUCUGAGUUGGCAGUCAGCUAGGUUAUAGACUAUUUGGGGACGUUGUAGGUAGACGGUGACACAGCUGUACUAGUGUCUUCUAGAUAACACAUAGCAAUAUAUAGCGCGAUUCCUUAAACUAUUUUGAUCUUGAUACUUCUUGCCGCAACAGCCUUUGCCUAAAUUCUGCUAAGAAUGGCAGGCUCAUUAUACAACCAUGACCAGGCCAUAACCCAUUGUCGAAAAGCUUUUUAUUUCAUUUCAGUCUGAAUGUAGCCUAUGCGCAAUACAGGCUGGGAAAUAGCAUCACGGGCUCGAGAUGAACUGUUCGCUCGGAGCAAGGCUCACUUGUAUGCUUAUAGUAUACAAAUUUCUUGUCUAUUGGCUAUGACUAUACAAUCAUUGACAUUUGACUAUAUAUAGCUAAAAGCCAUUUAGACUCCAACCUGUCGGCCAUUCAGUAGUCAAGUUGGGCUGCUGAUUUUGUCGCACGAUUUAAUCCGUAACAGGCACGUUAAUGUUUGAUCAUGUUGAUCAAACAGGUCUCACGUGGAGGCAGGCCAUGUUGCGGUUAAACUGUAGUGUACAUCAUUAUCGGACAUCACUGUAGUUUGCCUCGAGCAGACUUCGUUUACAAAGCAGAAACAGUCUUGAACAGAAGCUGUUAACUUUUUUCAUAAAACAGUUAGGUAAAUUAUCAUCUAUAUAUUGAUAUUAUUAUAUAUAGACGACAAGCCUUGUGCUUCUGCAAUAAUAUUGUGGUGCAACUGUUGAUGAAAUAUAUAUACAUAAAUGUGUAAUGAGAAUAUAACUACAUUAUAUAUGAAGGAAAAUAGAAAAGUUAUCGCAAUAUAUAACUAUUAUUAUAUCGUAUAUAAAUAAAUAAUUAUAUAUA